UUCAGAUUCAAGGCUGGUUGAAUUGUGCAGUCCUAAUAGGAAAUUGCAUUCCAUUCCUUUGGAUGUAUUACCUGACAGAAUGAGGUUACUGCAGUUGGAUAUGUGGGAAAAGAUCAUGGACUCUGGAAUUGGUGCUGGCUAUGUGAGCCCUAAUGCUCGCAGAGAAUCGUGGGAAUCUGGAACCAACUCCCCGGUAAUGUUG